CCCAGACUCCUACGGGAGGCAGCAGUGGGGGAUAUUGCACAAUGGGGGAAACCCUGAUGCAGCGACGCCGCGUGGAGGAAGAAGGUCUUCGGAUUGUAAACUCCUGUCCGAGGGGACGAUAAUGACGGUACCCUUGGAGGAAGCCCCGGCUAACUACGUGCCAGCAGCCGCGGUAAUACGUAGGUGGCAAGCGUUGUCCGGAAUUACUGGGUGUAAAGGGAGCGCAGGCGGGAAGCCAAGUCAGCUGUGAAAACUACGGGCUUAACUUGUAGACUGCAGUUGAAACUGGUUUUCUUGAGUGAAGUAGAGGUUGGCGGAAUUCCGAGUGUAGCGGUGAAAUGCGUAGAUAUUCGGAGGAACACCGGUGGCGAAGGCGGCCAACUGGGCUUUAACUGACGCUGAGGCUCGAAAGUGUGGGGAGCAAACAGGAUUAGAUACCCUGGUAGC
rnacentral:rRNA from 1 species